AUUAAGUAAGGAGUAGAGGGUUCAGAUCUCAACCUCCCCGGAAUGGUAAAGAACAGUGUUUUUGCUAGACUAGCCCAUCCAUAGUUUGGAAUUUUGUUGGAAAUUAUUGUAGAAUUGUAAGGGUAAAAGAAAUUGAAGUUAAAGUGUAAAAGUUAAAGGGUAAAAGACCGGGUGUUGUAAAGUUUCUAAGCUGCAAGGUCUGAGUUAAAAUGUAAAGGAUUAGGCAUUGUUAGGUUUCUAUGCUACCUGCAAAACCUGAAAUUUCUGUAGCUGUUAAGACAAUGCUUGGAACUGCCCAGUAAAUAUUUCCCCUGACUAUUUGGUUGUUUAAUAAGGGCUCUGUGUGGUCGCACGUAGGCAUUGCAGGGCCUGGACCAAUCAGUUUAAAUGUAACCCCCUCCUUAGGAAUGACCUAUCACUCCAGCCUGACCUGUUCCCGCCAAUGAAUGAACCAAUCAUGUUUAGGAGUUGUUGUUCAAUUUUCCCGCGCCUCAUGAUGAUUUGUUCUGAUGUAUACAAGGCCCUCCGCCCUCCCCAAAAAGUGUACUUAAGCAGUGCUCAGCCCCUGCUCGGGGCUCUGGGCUGCUUUCCCUUCUUGAGUGGGCACGGAGCCCCAGCAUGCUGGUUCAAUAAAUCCCCCUUCUGCCAAUUGCAUGAGUGGUCACUUGGUGGUCUCUUUCUCCGACGUUUCUCGGGACCCUUACAUUUGGUGCGUUGGCCGGGAAAAGCGCAUGGCCGGACAAGGAGACCUCCAAUGGACUCCUUUAGGGGACCACCUAUCCCUCGAAUGGCCCUCCAGCCUAAUACUUCUCAAUUGGACUUUUAUCAUGGACCACUCGAUAGCCCCGAUUAUUAAAGGGGGACUCCAAACUUCUUGCCCCACACCGUCCCUUUUCAGCCUGAAGAAGCCAGAAAGAUUCUCUUCGCCCCCUCUUCCUUACAGCAGUGAGGAAUUCCCAAAUUAGAGGGGGGAAUAAAGCCAGAUUUUAAGUUAGGUAGUCAGUGUAGUUAGAUAAAUCAGGGUCUAAUACCGAGUGAAAUCUAAAAUGGAGGCCAUGCUGAAAAUGAUUCCAGGGAACGCAAAACAACUCAUGAAAUGUGAAACCCUUCAAUAAUUGUGAUGCAUUACUUUUAAGAUUAAAAGUAGUCAGAAAAAGGAGUGGGGAAUGUAAGGGUAAAAGAAAUUGAAGUUAAAGCGUAAAAGUUAAAGGGUAAAAGACCGGGUGUUGUAAAGUUUCUAAGCUGCAAGGUCUGAGUUAAAAUGUAAAGGAUUAGGUAUUGUUAGGUAUCUAUGCUACCUGCAAAACCUGAAAUUUCUGUAGCUGUUAAGACAAUGCUUAGAACUGCCCAGUAAAUAUUUCCCCUGACUAUUGGUUGUUUAAUAAGGGCUCUGUGUGGUCGCACGUAGGCAUUGCAGAGGCUGGACCAAUCAGUUUAAAUGUAACCCCCUCCUUAGGAAUGACCUAUCACUCCAGCCUGACCUGUUCCCGCCAAUGAAUGAACUAAUCAUGUUUAGGAGUUGUUAUUCAAUUUUCCCGCGCCUCAUGAUGAUUUGUUCUGAUGUAUACAAGGCCCUCCGCCCUCCCCAAAAAGUGUACUUAAGCAGUGCUCAGCCCCUGCUCGGGGCUCUGGGCUGCUUUCCCUUCUUGAGUGGGCACGGAGCCCCAGCAUGCUGGUUCAAUAAAUCCCCCCUUCUGCCAA